rnacentral:rRNA from 1 species
GAACGCUAGCGGGAGGCUUAACACAUGCAAGUCGAGGGGUAAAUGGCAGCAAUGCUAUGAGACCGGCGGACGGGUGCGUAACGCGUAUGCAACAUACCUUGUGCAGGGGGAUAGCCCGUGGAAACGCGGAUUAAUAUUCCAUAGUCCAGCUAUAUCGCAUGGUAUAGUUGGUAAAGAUUUAUCGGCACAAGUUUGGCAUGCGUCUGAUUAGCUUGUUGGUAGGGUAACGGCCUACCAAGGCUACGAUCAGUAGGGGUUCUGAGAGGAUUAACCCCCACACUGGUACUGAGACACGGACCAGACUCCUACGGGAGGCAGCAGUGAGGAAUAUUGGUCAAUGGGCGGAAGCCUGAACCAGCCAUCCCGCGUGAAGGAAGACAGCCUUACGGGUUGUAAACUUCUUUUCUGUCAGAAGAAUAAGCUUGUCGAGACGAGUGAUGCCGGUAUGACAGGAAUAAGCAUCGGCUAACUCCGUGCCAGCAGCCGCGGUAAUACGGAGGAUGCAAGCGUUAUCCGGAUUUAUUGGGUUUAAAGGGUGCGCAGGUUGUUUGAUAAGUCAGUGGUGAAAGUCUGUCGCUUAACGGUAGGAUUGCCAUUGAUACUGUUGGACUUGAAUAUGGAUGAGGUAGGCGGAAUGUGUAGUGUAGCGGUGAAAUGCAUAGAUAUUACACAGAACACCGAUUGCGAAGGCAGCUUACUAAUCCAUCAUUGACGCUGAGGCACGAAAGCGUGGGGAUCAAACAGGAUUAGAUACCCUGGUAGUCCACGUCGUAAACGAUGAUCACUCGCUGUUUGCGAUAUACAGUAAGCGGCUAAGCGAAAGCGUUAAGUGAUCCACCUGGGGAGUACGAUCGCAAGGUUGAAACUCAAAGGAA